AUUGAACGCUGGCGGCAUGCCUUACGCAUGCAAGUCGAACGGCAGCACGGGAGCAAUCCUGGUGGCGAGUGGCGAACGGGUGAGUAAUAUAUCGGAACGUGCCCAGUAGUGGGGGAUAACUGCUCGAAAGAGCAGCUAAUACCGCAUACGACCUGAGGGUGAAAGGGGGGGAUCGCAAGACCUCUCGCUAUUGGAGCGGCCGAUAUCAGAUUAGCUAGUUGGUGGGGUAAAGGCCUACCAAGGCAACGAUCUGUAGUUGGUCUGAGAGGAUGACCAGCCACACUGGGACUGAGACACGGCCCAGACUCCUACGGGAGGCAGCAGUGGGGAAUCUUGGACAAUGGGCGCAAGCCUGAUCCAGCAAUGCCGCGUGCAGGAUGAAGGCCUUCGGGUUGUAAACUGCUUUUGUACGGAGCGAAAAGGCUUCCACUAAUACUGGGGGCUCAUGACGGUACCGUAAGAAUAAGCACCGGCUAACUACGUGCCAGCCGCCGCCGUAACAC
rnacentral:rRNA from 1 species